GCCUGACUGGCUUAGCUGGUGGAGCUUGUGACUCUUGAUCUUGGGUUGUGGGUUCAAGCCCCACAUUAGGUA
rnacentral:tRNA from 1 species